UACGUAGGUGGCAAGCGUUGUCCGGAAUUAUUGGGCGUAAAGCGCGCGCAGGCGGUUUCUUAAGUCUGAUGUGAAAGCCCCCGGCUCAACCGGGGAGGGUCAUUGGAAACUGGGGAACUUGAGUGCAGAAGAGAAGAGUGGAAUUCCACGUGUAGCGGUGAAAUGCGUAGAGAUGUGGAGGAAUACCAGUGGCGAAGGCGGCCUGCUGGGCAGUUACUGACACUGAGGCGCGACAGCGUGGGGAGCAAACAGG
rnacentral:rRNA from 1 species